GCGUUGUUCGGAAUUACUGGGCGUAAAGGGCUCGUAGGUGGCCAACUAAGUCAGACGUGAAAUCCCUCGGCUUAACCGGGGAACUGCGUCUGAUACUGGAUGGCUUGAGUUCGGGAGAGGGAUGCGGAAUUCCAGGUGUAGCGGUGAAAUGCGUAGAUAUCUGGAGGAACACCGGUGGCGAAGGCGGCAUCCUGGACCGACACUGACACUGAGGAGCGAAAGCCAGGGGAGCAAACGGG
rnacentral:rRNA from 1 species